rnacentral:rRNA from 1 species
UACGGGGGGUGCGAGCGUUGUCCGGAAUCACUGGGCGUAAAGGGCGCGUAGGUGGUUUGAUAAGGGUGUGGUGAAAGUCCGGGGCUCAACCCCGGACUUGCAGUGGGUACGGGCAGACUAGAGUUCGGCAGGGGAGACUGGAAUUCCUGGUGUAGCGGUGGAAUGCGUAGAGAUCCGGAAGAACACCGGUGGCGAAGGCGGCCUGCUGGGCAGUUGCUGACACUGAGGCGCGACAGCGUGGGGAGCAAACAGGG